GGAUAGUGAAUGAGGAUUAGGGUUCGAAGUUAAUGUGUGGGGUCGGGGAAGAAAAAUAUUUUCCAUGAAAAAUUUACUGAGAAAAAUAUUUAAAAAAAUAUAGCUAGUGAAGUAUAUACAUAAAACAAUAAAUUAAAUGCUCAAAAAUAAAUUCGAGUAAGUAGCAAUGAAUGCUCUCACUUUUCUAAAAUUGUAUGUCAAAGCAAAACAAAAUAGAAAAUCACUUUUUUGCUGACAAGUCUUAUGUUUUUCCUUACUCUUCCAACAUUUGAUGUCGAAGCAUAAAAUUUUUAAAAAGAAUUAGUAGUACUAUUUUACUAUCAUAUUAAAGAAAAUAAUAUUGCAAUGUUAAAAGCAUCUUCCUCCUUCUUCAUUACAACAUUCAAAUUAAUACGACGUGCAUAAAUAGUGCUAAGUACAGCCAAAGCAGCGUAAGGAACAACAUAUCAAUGACAACUUCCAAAAGAGUUGCAGAGAGGAAAGUGGCUAAGUUUGAGAAGAAUAUCACAAAGAGGGGAAUAUUGCAUCUUGAUAGAGACAAGAAAGGAGGAUUGGAGCCAAUUCAUGUUUUUCUUGUCCUCUUUGCUGUUUUGUUCCUUGGAUCUUUUAUUUUCCAGGCUGUGAGAAUGGCGCUUAAUGGUGGAUUGCUACCAAGAUAGAUGGAUGCUUUCAAUUUUUCCAGGGAAAGGAAAAAGAAGAUGACAACUGAAUUCAGAAACUUUUUGAGCCUAGCUAUUAGAGAAACUAAGCUCUUUUAUUAAUAUUUACUGACAUUUUCAACCAAAGAACAUCCAAUAAGUAUGUGAAAAACUCUUUUGCAUGGUGUAACUAGCAAUGCCUGUUGUAUCCAAUCUCUCUUGCUUCACCUAUUAGCAGAGCUUUCAGCAUAAAAAUGCGAAAGAACUUGCUUACCUAUCUACGAUAUGCGCAUGAAAUGAAUAAAUACAAGUGUCCUGCACAUAAAUAUUUUGUCA